UACAGAGGUCCCAAGCGUUGUUCGGAUUCACUGGGCGUAAAGGGUGCGCAGGCGGCCAAGUGUGUGAGGCGUGAAAGCCUGGAGCUUAACUCCAGAAUUGCACCUCAAACUACUUGGCUAGAGCAUUGGAGAGGGUAGCAGAAUUCACGGUGUAGCAGUGAAAUGCGUAGAUAUCGUGAGGAAUACCAGAGGCGAAGGCGGCUACCUGGACAAUUGCUGACGCUCAGGCACGAAAGCGUGGGGAGCAAAAGGG
rnacentral:rRNA from 1 species